rnacentral:snoRNA from 1 species
GAGUCAAUGAUGAAGACUUUAUAUUGUGUUGAAGAGAGGUGAUGACUUAAAAUUCAUGUACAAUGGCAUGAUGCUGAGGCCC